CAUGAUAUACAGUGACAGUGUUACGGAAAACUAUAAAGGCUGCAAGAUAUCUCCGUUUUACGAAAAAAGCCCAAAAAAGCCCCGUUCAAUUUUACUUGAGACAUAAAGCCAAGUUAAAUGUCUAUAGUCUGGUGUGUUCAAACCUAUCUCAACGAGGAGAAAACACUAUUUUAAAUACGUCCGCGCUUUGACAAAAAAGAAAAAAAUGUCGUCAACACCGAGUUCAAAAUGCAUGUCUUUUCCUCAACAAUCGCUUCGUUCAUUUUGCAAGUGAAAUAGAUACCAAUUUUAGCAAUAUAAGCUGAUACUAGAUACUUCAAUAAACAUUUAUAGUAUGUAUUUGAGGCAGGAAGUGAUUUCGUUUAAUUGAUAAUUGAAAAUUGUGUUGUUUAAAUAUCGUAUUAUCUGCAUAAAUAAGUAUAGUAGUCGCGAAUCUAUUGUCGUGUGGAGUAUACGGAAAACUAUAAAGGCUGCAAGAUAUCUCCAUUUUACGAAAAAAAACCAAAAAAGCCCCGUUCAAUUUUACUUGAGACAUAAAGCCAAGUUAAAUGUCUAUAGUUUGGCGUGUUCAAAUUUAUCUCAACCUAUCUCAACGAGGAGAAAACACUAUUUUAAAUACGUCCGCGCUUUUUUUUGCAAAUAUUUUCAUCGCUCGAGUGAAAUUUUUGCCCUGAUAUUUUCUUUCAACAAGUGUUCAGUAACAAACAACACAAGC